GUCGUUUUAGUAUAGUGGUGAGUAUUUCCGCCUGUCACGCGGACGACCGGGUUCGAUCCCUGGCAACGGUG
rfam:Vigna angularis cultivar Jingnong 6 chromosome 9, whole genome shotgun sequence.